AUACGUAGGUGACAAGCGUUAUCCGGAUUUACUGGGCGUAAAGGGCGUGUAGGCGGUCUUGCAAGUCAGAAGUGAAAUUCCUGAGCUCAACUCGGGCGCUGCUUCUGAAACUGCAGGACUUGAGUGCUGGAGGGGAUAGCGGAAUUCCUAGUGGAGCGGUAAAAUGCGCAGAUAUUAGGAAGAACACCGGUGGCGAAGGUGGCUAUCUGGACAGUAACUGACGCUGAGGCGCGAAAGCGUGGGGAGCAAACAGGAUUAGAUGCCCUGGUAGUCCACGCCGUAAACGAUGAAUACUAGGUGUAGGGGGUAUCGACUCCCUCUGUGCCGCAGUUAACACAAUAAGUAUUCCGCCUGGGGAGUACGGCCGCAAGGUUGAAACUCAAAUGAAUUGACGGGG
rnacentral:rRNA from 1 species